GAGGUAAUGGUAGUGGAAUAGAGCUCUGUCACUGGAUAAUGAUCUCCUGUGGUUAGAUGAAUGAGGACAGCAAAUGUGGGCACCUUUAGAAACAGAACAGCAAGGGGCUGCCAAAAUGUUGAUUUUUCAAAGAGGGAGGUUUUAAUCCUGUCACAAUAUUCUAUUCAAAACAAACAUUAUAUGCAGAAGAAGACAGCAACAUCAAGAAGAGCAAGACGCUUGCAAGACUGAGAUAAGACUAAGAUAGAAGGUAGGCAACUUUGGAAAGCCACCCUCUAUGAUGACAAUCCACAGGCCAGGCAAACCUUCACGGAGAUAAUGUCUGAGACCAAAAGAGACAUGAAAAGCCAGUUGGAAGCAGUUUGGUUACAGGAGUACUGUUUGAUUGGCAACUGCAAUGGGCCCUUACAGUCCCCUCAGCUCCACACAGCUCAGAAGAACUGCACUCUGAUGGUUGAUUGUAACACUGAAGCAGCUUUGAGUUCUUGAGGAAGGCUUGAGUACUUGCUGGCAUUGAAGUAGCCACCCCAAUCUGGCUAUGACAUUUUCUUGGCUACAUGAAGGAGUAGUUGGGGAUGGCUUCUCUGAGGAGGUGACAUUUAAACGGGAAUGAUAAGAAGUCAGCAAAG
rnacentral:lncRNA from 1 species